rnacentral:lncRNA from 1 species
UUAUUUACGCAAAAAAACGUCCAAAAUAUCCCUCCGGAUAUUACCCGCAGUCACCGACGAAACCUAAGAUUAAACGAGAGAGAAUAUUACAGUUCAUCUAACAAAACAAUUAAGUAUAAUCGAAGAAACCCGACUAAUUACGAGUAAAAUGUAUAAAGAUGACUUUAAAGUGAAAAGAGGCAUUUGGAUCGAAAGAUGGAAAUAACUAAGGGUUUCACAAAUCAAACAUAAAAUGAAACUAAAAAGGUUAUAAAAUUUCCAACGGAAAAUGCUUGGACCGAAGACAAAUCAAAAUCCGGCUAGCUAGGCUAAAGAAAUAUUUUUCUGAAUCAUUUAUGUGGCUCAAAAUCAAUAUAUAUUCAAGUAGAUAUUAUAUAACAAGUGUCUUGAUGAAAAUCAUGUGAAAAGGAAGCUAAACAAACCCUAAAUGCACACCUAAAACCUCGCUUGAUAAAAUUAGGGUUUGUAGCUGAGAAACCCUUCGCAAUUUUCUUUGUUUUGGAAAGAAAUGAGUAAAUAUUUGAAGUUCAAAACUUGACAUUUGUAACUAAGUAUCAUGCUUAAAACGGUUGUCACCUUCACCAUGCGAAAAGGUACAAGUUCAAAUGGAAUCUAGUUCAAGUAACACCAUUAAAGUGGACCUAAGUGAGUCUAAGAAAAGUAAGUCCAAUGCAUCCCCAAAUCACAUUUCAAAUCUCACUUUUACUUAUUCAAACUUCAAGAAAAUAAACGGACAGCAUUUCUCCUUAAUUUCUUCACUUUCCAUCCUACAAUCACAGACCAAAUCUCAUCCCAAAUCAAAUACAGUUUCACAUACAAAUCAUAGGCGAUAAAACACCUUUCGGCAUAACAACCACAACCGAAGCUAUACUUAUCAGAUGGAAACAAAUCUUAUGCCGUUUCGAAGCCAAGACAUAUACCUACAUUUCUUGUGAAGACCUCCAAAGCCAAAUCAUGCAUUUUCAUGGUCAAAAAUGGAAAUCUCCACGAAAACAGAAAUCUGUUCGCGAAACAAGGCUCAUGGGCAGUCAAGGGUAUUUAAGUCAUUUCGUAUACUACAGUACUCGGAUCAAGGUGAAAUUUUGUAGGCAGCUAGUUAAUACCAUUUUCUACAACUUUCAUGUUUUAAUCUAAGCCUGAUUCGGCCUCCAUCAUGGCCAAACAGAACCAGCCAGAACAGUGUAAGAUGAAACCCUAAGCUGGAAUUUCCGCACCAAACCAGAAAUUUUCCGCAACCAAUCAUAUCCAACAUAUACCUACUCCAUUUUACACUAUAACAAGACAUCAAUCCAUGAAUAAACAAUAAUUAUGAUAUAAAAACAGAAAAAUCACUAAUAAAUAAAAAAUCCAUCAAAACUCCACUUUCAACCAUAAAACCUACCACAAAUCAACAUAUUUAGCCACUAAAGCCACUAAUUUGACAUUAACAAGAACAAAGAGAAAGUUUCCAAGCAAGGUACCUUGACACUUCAAGAAAGAUGGUAGUUUAGUUCUUCCUCCUCCAAAAUUAAUCCACCAACACCUUUAAACUUUCCUAGUGAUCACUUGUAUGGAUUAGAUUCAAGUUUGGUUGGCUAGAUCACAAGAUUUGAGCAAGAAAUGAAGCUAGAAAAUGAAGAACUUUCCUCUCUUGUUUU